GACAGAGGGUGCAAGCGUUGUUCGGAAUUACUGGGCGUAAAGCGCGCGUAGGCAGCAGCGUGUGUCGGGCGUGAAAUCCCACGGCUCAACCGUGGAAGUGCACUCGAAACUGCAUAGCUAGAGUCCUGGAGAGGAAGGUGGAAUGCUUGGUGUAGAGGUGAAAUUCGUAGAUAUCAAGCGGAACACCGGUGGCGAAGGCGGCCUUCUGGACAGUGACUGACGCUGAGACGCGAAAGCGUGGGGAGCAAACAGG
rnacentral:rRNA from 1 species